GCCCCUGUAGCUCAGUUAGGAUAGAGCAGCGGUUUCCUAAACCGCGUGCCGCCUGUUCGAGUCAGGCCAGGGGCG
rnacentral:tRNA from 1 species